rnacentral:rRNA from 1 species
AUUGAACGCUGGCGGCAGGCCUAACACAUGCAAGUCGAGCGGAUGAAGGGAGCUUGCUCCUGGAUUCAGCGGCGGACGGGUGAGUAAUGCCUAGGAAUCUGCCUGGUAGUGGGGGAUAACGUCUGGAAACGGGCGCUAAUACUGCAUACGUCCUGAGGGAGAAAGUGGGGGAUCUUCGGACCUCACGCUAUCAGAUGAGCCUAGGUCGGAUUAGCUAGUUGGUGGGGUAAAGGCCUACCAAGGCGACGAUCCGUAACUGGUCUGAGAGGAUGAUCAGUCACACUGGAACUGAGACACGGUCCAGACUCCUACGGGAGGCAGCAGUGGGGAAUAUUGGACAAUGGGCGAAAGCCUGAUCCAGCCAUGCCGCGUGUGUGAAGAAGGUCUUCGGAUUGUAAAGCACUUUAAGUUGGGAGGAAGGGCAGUAAGUUAAUACCUUGCUGUUUUGACGUCACCAACAGAAUAAGCACCGGCUAACUUCGUG